UACAGAGGUCUCAAGCGUUGUUCGGAUUCAUUGGGCGUAAAGGGUGCGUAGGCGGCGCGGUAAGUCGGGUGUGAAAGCCCCGGGCUCAACCUGGGAAUGCCAUUCGAGACUGCAUAGCUAGGGUGCGGAAGAGGGAAGCGGAAUUUCCGGUGUAGCGGUGAAAUGCGUAGAUAUCGUGAGGAAGACCAGUGGCGAAGGCGGAUCUCUGGACAGUUCCUGACGCUGAGGCGCGGAAGGCCAGGGGAGCCAAAGCGGGA
rnacentral:rRNA from 1 species